rnacentral:rRNA from 1 species
CCCUACGGGGUGCAGCAGGCGCGAACACUUUACAAUGCGGGAAACCGCGAUAAGGGAACCCCGAGUGCCAGCAUCAAAUGUUGGCUGUCCAGAUGGUUAAAAAUCAUUUGUUAGCAAGGGCCGGGCAAGACCGGUGCCAGCCGCCGCGGUAACACCGGCGGCCCAAGUGGUAGCCGUUUUUAUUGGGUCUAAAGGGUCCGUAGCCGGCCUGAUAAGUCCUUUGGGAAAUCUGACAGCUUAACUGUCAGGCUUCUAAGGGAUACUGUCAGGCUUGGGACCGGAAGAGGUAAGGGGUACUCCAGGGGUAGGAGUGAAAUCUUGUAAUCCCUGGGGGACCAUCUGUGGCGAAGGCGCCUUACCAGAACGGGUCCGACGGUGAGGGACGAAAGCUAGGGGAGCAAACCGGAUUAGAUACCCGGGUAGUCCUAGCUGUAAACGAUGCUCGCUAGGUGUCAGACACGGUGCGACCGUGUUUGGUGCCGCAGGGAAGCCGUUAAGCGAGCCACCUGGGAAGUACGGUCGCAAGGCUGAAACUUAAAGGAAUUGGCGGGGGAGCAC